GCUUUAGAUGUUACAACAAGCAUUAUGUGCUAUUCCCAAACAAAGGGGAUAACCACUAGCCCCUGCCCAAACAUCUUCGGUUGGGGUGACCAUGGGAAACAAGAAACUCCCACGUCUCUGUAUUGGAAUCUCCUUAUUUUGACCCAAAAAAACUUCUUCAAACGAGAGCCACCGCUCUAGUUCAACAGAAUUUCUGACCACCGAUCCGGCAACGCCGAUUAACGAACUAAGUU
rnacentral:rRNA from 1 species